CAAGCAUGUGGAGGUGAUAGCAUCAUUUAGUGAAUUCCGUCUAAAACUGUAGGUUUCACUGUGAGAUCACAGUGAGAUCACAUUAUACAGAAUUGUUGAGUGAUUAAAAAUCUGAAAUAUAUGUUUUGUAUUUGGAGAAGCGGGUUGAGUAUUUGAAUGCAAUGUUUCUUCAGUAUUUGCCUUGGCCUAAGGGUCUGAUCUUGGGACUGCAUGGGAGAACAAUGGUGUGAGUAGCUGAAAUUCUAAAAGAAUCUGAACUUCUUUGCCGGAGAUAAAUAACCAUGACCAUUUGAGGUGCUGAGGGCAAAGAGAAUAUUGAAAG